CCAAGCGUGAGAAGGACCGCCAG
rnacentral:siRNA from 1 species